rnacentral:rRNA from 1 species
AUGAUUUAUAGUUUCACCCUUGACCUGAUGAACUCAUGUUGUAUGUCUUUACCUAACUGGCCAUCGGUUUGUCUUUGUUCACGCAGUUUCACUUUCGUGAUUCCUGUCUGGAAGGAAGGGUCUGUAGGAGAUCGGAUGGUAUAUGGAAGCCUUUUGGCUUUCGUAAACAACGUGAUGUGGGCAAUGUAUGCCGCCUCCGACUCUCUCGAGAGUAAACUUUACUUCUUCAUCGUCAAUGGAGUGGGCUUGGUCUUUCAGAUUUGCUACAACAUCCUCUACAUAUACUAUGCGGAAGGGAAGAAGAGCAUUCAAGCCUUCAUCCUUUUAUUGGCAUCCUACGUGGUCGCCCUUGUAAUGGCAGCCUUAGUGCCUUGGAUGGUGAUGACACAAAGGUGGAGUAGUACUUGGGUCGGUGUCCUUGCCGCAUCAUUUGGAGUAUCCAUACAUAUUGCUUCUGCAUGGGACAUGCUGAUGGUGAUCAAGAGAAAGGAGCAGAUCAUCUACAUAGACCGAAUAAUCACGGUAUCCUUCUCCCUCGCCGCUGCAUGUAUUUGGACCGUCUACGGUUUCAAAUCCGCGACCGUCAACUUAUAUGUCCUGGUACCGAAUCUCGUGGGCAUUCUGUGUACCGCUGUGCAAAUCUGUGUGUACGCCUACUUGAUACUAUCCCGCAAGAUCCGCAUCUACUCCUUCCAAACUGAUGACGCAGUGGACUAUGGCUACGAGAUGGGAAAGCUCUUCGCGUUGCCUCCAGUGUAG